rnacentral:rRNA from 1 species
UACGUAGGGUGCAAGCGUUAAUCGGAAUUACUGGGCGUAAAGCGUGCGCAGGUGGUUGUGUAAGCCAGAUGUGAAAUCCCCGGGCUUAACCUGGGAAUGGCAUUUGGGACUGCACGGCUAGAGUGUGGCAGAGGGGGGUGGAAUUCCACGUGUAGCAGUGAAAUGCGUAGAGAUGUGGAGGAACACCGAUGGCGAAGGCAGCCCCCUGGGCCAACACUGACGCUCAGGCACGAAAGCGUGGGGAGCAAACAGG